AUACGUAGGUGGCAAGCGUUGUCCGGAUUUACUGGGUGUAAAGGGCGUGUAGGCGGAGAUGCAAGUCAGGAGUGAAAUCUAGGGGCUCAACCCCUAAACUGCUUUUGAAACUGUAUCCCUUGAGUAUCGGAGAGGCAGGCGGAAUUCCUAGUGUAGCGGUGAAAUGCGUAGAUAUUAGGAGGAACACCAGUGGCGAAGGCGGCCUGCUGGACGACAACUGACGCUGAGGCGCGAAAGCGUGGGGAGCAAUCAGGAUUAGAUACCCUGGUAGUCCACGCUGUAAACGAUGAAUACUAGGUGUGGGGGGACUGACCCCCUCCGUGCCGCAGUUAACACAAUAAGUAUUCCACCUGGGGAGUACGAUCGCAAGAUUGAAACUCAAAUGAAUUGACGGGG
rnacentral:rRNA from 1 species